rnacentral:miRNA from 1 species
GCAUCAAUGCCGGUUGUUAUAGU